CUGUUCACACAUGGGGACAUAUGGAUGAUAGCGAGCAAUGGAGCUGCUUGCUGAGAGAGUGGGUCAAGCACAAAGUUGUGAUUGGUAGUAAGUGAUCAUUUGGACACCUUUGCAUUAAUGUAUUUGUGUUCCUUUUGCUGCAGAUAGAAAGAGAAAUGGAUACGUUCUGCAUUGUUUUCUCAUUUUCUAGUGAUUAAAAUGUGCUGUUGACGCCAGUUCCAAUUGACCUUUCUGCACUCAGAGCAUGGCAGCCUGGUUGCUGUGCUCCAGCCUAUUCAGAACCUAUUAGAGGAAAUCUUUCUUAUUGACUCCAUCAGCAUGUGAGCUUCACGCAGCGCUGUGCCGAGCGGAGCAACCUGCUGCAGUGAUUUGCGUCCGUGAGCUGGUGGGACCAAGUGUGGCUCUUUGGUGAAGGGGAAGGAAUGAUCAAGGAGAGGGGUGUGGGAAGGGAAUAGGCUUCAGAAUAAAUUAUUUCCUUCAUUUAUUUGGAAACCAACAAAUGAAACCGGCCGUAGGAUAUGGGCAAGAAACUAUUUUCUUGCAUCUCCUAAACAAAUGAACAAAACACUGCUAAACUUUCAAAAGAGCUCUUCCUCUGGAAGAUAUCUAAAGAGAUGUCCAGAAGUAAAGGAGCAUUGAAAAUCACGAAAGGUUGGUCAUUUGUCAUAGCUGUUUACAUGUCAAAAAGCACAUCUGAAGUCCCCAAAGUGCACCGAAUAACCACAUGUAGUCAAAGUAUCUUUGAAAAUGUGAUAUAUGCUGCUAAGAUAUCUCCAGAUUAUGACAACAGAUAUAGUACAGAGA
rnacentral:lncRNA from 1 species